CGUGUAGGCGGCCUUUUAAGUCAGACGUGAAAUCUCUGGGCUUAACCCAGAAAUUGCGUUUGAAACUGGAAGGCUUGAGGAUCGGAGAGGGUAGUGGAAUUCCCAGUGUAGCGGUGAAAUGCGUAGAUAUUGGGAGGAACACCAGUGGCGAAGGCGACUGCCUGGACGACACCUGACGCUGAGGCGCGAAAGCCAGGGGAGCAAACGGGAUUAGAUACCCCGGUAGUCCUGGCCGUAAACGAUGGGUACUAGGUGUGGGAGGUAUCGACCCCUUCCGUGCCGCAGUUAACACAAUAAGUACCCCGCCUGGGGAGUACGGCCGCAAGGUUGAA
rnacentral:rRNA from 1 species